rnacentral:sRNA from 1 species
UUUUUUUUGAUAAACCCUAUCGGCUGAUCCGGUUAGCCCCGGUAGAAACGCACCAAAGUACUUCAAAGUGGACUUCUCCCCGAAGGACCACCACACUGUCUAUCCCGAGUUUGGAUGAUUUCCGACUAAUGCCAGGGGGUAGUCAGGCCGCCUGCAUUUCUGACUACCAGGUAAACCAAUUGGGCCAAAGCCCAACUGACAGACUUCCCAAACAAAUGUGAUUUCUGUUUCCAGGGAAAGUUAGUUUUACAUUUUACACCCGACUGCUUUUUGAAUUAUGAAAGAUAUUCGUAUGUUUCGUGUUCUAUGGAAGUAAGUGAACCGGGUUGUUUGGAAAAGUGAUUUCGAGUUAAGAUGGCAUAAUGUUUUUUGCUUUACAACAAUGAUUUAAAAACUGUAUCGGACUGGCUAGUCGGACCAAUUUAAAAACUGUAUCGGACUGGGUAGUCGGACCAAUUUAAAACUAUACUGUUUUAGAAAACUUAACAUUAAAAGGUAAAAACAAUAAAAAAAAUUCUCAACCUCUAAACAAAAAUGCUUCCA